CCUACGGGUGGCAGCAGUGAGGAAUAUUGGUCAAUGGGCGCGAGCCUGAACCAGCCAAGUAGCGUGAAGGAUGACUGCCCUACGGGUUGUAAACUUCUUUUAUAAAGGAAUAAAGUGAGGCACGUGUGCCUUUUUGUAUGUAUUUUAUGAAUAAGGAUCGGCUAACUCCGUGCCAGCAGCCGCGGUAAUACGGAGGAUCCGAGCGUUAUCCGGAUUUAUUGGGUUUAAAGGGAGCGUAGAUGGGUUGUUAAGGCCGUUGUGAAAGUUUGCGGCUUAAACGUAAAAGUGCAAUUGAUACUGGCAGCCUUGAGUACAGUUGAGGUAGGCGGAAUUCGUGGUGUAGCGGUGAAAUGCUUAGAUAUCACGCAGAACGCCGAUUGCGAAGGCAGCCUACUAAACUGCCACUGACAUUGAUGCUCGAAAGUGUGGGUAUCAAACAGGAUUAGAUACCCUAGUAGUC
rnacentral:rRNA from 1 species